rnacentral:rRNA from 1 species
UUUCGGGGUUAGUGGCGGACGGGUGAGUAACACGUGGGAACGUGCCUUUUGGUUCGGAAUAGCUCCUGGAAACGGGUGGUAAUGCCGAAUGUGCCCUUCGGGGGAAAGAUUUAUCGCCAUUAGAGCGGCCCGCGUCUGAUUAGCUAGUUGGUGAGGUAAAGGCUCACCAAGGCUACGAUCAGUAGCUGGUCUGAGAGGAUGACCAGCCACAUUGGGACUGAGACACGGCCCAAACUCCUACGGGAGGCAGCAGUGGGGAAUCUUGCGCAAUGGGCGAAAGCCUGACGCAGCCAUGCCGCGUGAAUGAUGAAGGUCUUAGGAUUGUAAAAUUCUUUCACCGGGGACGAUAAUGACGGUACCCGGAGAAGAAGCCCCGGCUAACUUCGUGCCAGCAGCCGCGGUAAUACGAAGGGGGCUAGCGUUGCUCGGAAUUACUGGGCGUAAAGGGAGCGUAGGCGGACAUUUAAGUCAGGGGUGAAAUCCCAGAGCUCAACUCUGGAACUGCCUUUGAUACUGGAUGUCUUGAGUGUGAGAGAGGUAUGUGGAACUCCGAGUGUAGAGGUGAAAUUCGUAGAUAUUCGGAAGAACACCAGUGGCGAAGGCGACAUACUGGCUCAUUACUGACGCUGAGGCUCGAAAGCGUGGGGAGCAAACAGGAUUAGAUACCCUGGUA